rnacentral:rRNA from 1 species
UACGAAGGGGGCUAGCGUUGUUCGGAAUCACUGGGCGUAAAGGGCGCGUAGGCGGCUUGUAAGUCGGGGUGGAAGACCUGUGGCUCAACCGACAGAAUUGCCUUCGAUACUGCAUGGCUUGAGACCGGAAGAGGUAAGUGGAACUGCGAGUGUAGAGGUGAAAUUCGUAGAUAUUCGCAAGAACACCAGUGGCGAAGGCGGCUUACUGGUCCGGUUCUGGACGCUGAGGCGCGAAAGCGUGGGGAGCAAAC